UUGGAGGGCAAGUCUGGUGCCAGCAGCCACGGUAAUUCCAGCUCCAAUAGCGUAUAUUAAAGUUGUUGCAGUUAAAAAGCUCGUAGUUGAAUUUCGGGGUUAGUAGGUUGGUCAUGCCUCUGGUAUGUACUGGUCUCACUGAUUCCUCCUUCCUUAUGAACCGUAAUGCCAUUAAUUUGGUGUUGCGGGGAAUUUGGACUGUUACUUUGAAAAAAUUAGAGUGUUUAAAGCAAGCUAACGCUUGAAUACAUUAGCAUGGAAUAAUGAAAUAGGACG
rnacentral:rRNA from 1 species